rnacentral:rRNA from 1 species
GAAUGGCGGCAGCCUACACAUGCAGUCCGACGGUAGCACAGAGAGCUUGCUUCCUCGGGUGACGAGUGAUGCGGACGGGUGAGUAAUGUCUGGGAAACUGCCUGAUGGAGGGGGAUAACUACUGGAAACGGUAGCUAAUACCGCAUAACGUCGCAAGACCAAAGAGGGGGACCUUCGGGCCUCUUGCCAUCAGAUGUGCCCAGAUGGGAUUAGCUAGUAGGUGGGGUAACGGCUCACCUAGGCGACGAUCCCUAGCUGGUCUGAGAGGAUGACCAGCCACACUGGAACUGAGACACGGUCCAGACUCCUACGGGAGGCAGCAGUGGGGAAUAUUGCACAAUGGGCGCAAGCCUGAUGCAGCCAUGCCGCGUGUAUGAAGAAGGCCUUCGGGUUGUAAAGUACUUUCAGCGGGGAGGAAGGUGUUGUGGUUAAUAACCGCAGCAAUUGACGUUACCCGCAGAAGAAGCACCGGCUAACUCCGUGCCAGCAGCCGCGGUAAUACGGAGGGUGCAAGCGUUAAUCGGAAUUACUGGGCGUAAAGCGCACGCAGGCGGUCUGUCAAGUCGGAUGUGAAAUCCCCGGGCUCAACCUGGGAACUGCAUUCGAAACUGGCAGGCUAGAGUCUUGUAGAGGGGGGGUAGAAUUCCAGGUGUAGCGGUGAAAUGCGUAGAGAUCUGGAGGAAUACCGGUGGCGAAAGCGGCCCCCUGGACAAAGACUGACGCUCAGGUGCGAAAGCGUGGGGGAGCAAACAGGAUUAGAUACCCUGGUAGUCCACGCCGUAAACGAUGUCGACUUGGAGGUUGUGCCCUUGAGGCGUGGCUUCCGGAGCUAACGCGUUAAGUCGACCGCCUGGGGAGUACGGCCGCAAGGUUAAAACUCAAAUGAAUUGACGGGGGCCCGCACAAGCGGUGGAGCAUGUGGUUUAAUUCGAUGCAACGCGAAGAACCUUACCUACUCUUGACAUCCAGAGAACUUAGCAGAGAUGCUUUGGUGCCUUCGGGAACUCUGAGACAGGUGCUGCAUGGCUGUCGUCAGCUCGUGUUGUGAAAUGUUGGGUUAAGUCCCGCAACGAGCGCAACCCUUAUCCUUUGUUGCCAGCGGUCCGGCCGGGAACUCAAAGGAGACUGCCAGUGAUAAACUGGAGGAAGGUGGGGAUGACGUCAAGUCAUCAUGGCCCUUACGAGUAGGGCUACACACGUGCUACAAUGGCGCAUACAAAGAGAAGCGAACUCGCGAGAGCAAGCGGACCUCAUAAAGUGCGUCGUAGUCCGGAUUGGAGUCUGCAACUCGACUCCAUGAAGUCGGAAUCGCUAGUAAUCGUAGAUCAGAAUGCUACGGUGAAUACGUUCCCGGGCCUUGUACACACCGCCCGUCACACCAUGGGAGUGGGUUGCAAAAGGGAGUAGGUAGCUUAACCUUCGGGAGGGCGCUACCACUUUGGAUCAAGGGGGAU